UCUUCCUCGAUUCCACCUUCUCCUUCUCCACCUUCUUUCUUCUUUUUAUUCUAAUUUUGCAGGUGGGUUGCAGAAAAUCGUCAGAAGUUGCAGGGUUCGCCGGGCUGGUGCUCGUGAGGCUCGUCAGAGAUCGCUCGUCGUCGUGGAAAACUCACUGGAGGUCGCCGUUAACCGGGGGUCUCGAAUCCGAGGGUCGCCAGAAAGUUGCAACUGCGCGUGGCACAAAUCUUUCCCCAAAUUAAAAAAUAUUAUUCAUUGACGAACAAAAUUUCAUUCCUUGGCCAAGAAGAAACAAAAAAGGAAUGGCUACUCUCCAGAGAAUGGAAGACGAAGAGGAUUCCCCACAGACGACGGUGAAGAUCGAGAUUCUUGGAAGCAAAGUCGGUGGUCAACCGUGGGAUGACGGACCUCAUUCCACCAUCAGACAACUUGUAAUUUAUCACAAACAGUGUGUCUGUUCGCUUCAUGUUGAGUAUGAUAAGAAUGGUAAUUCAAUUUGGCGUUCCAAGCAUAGUGGAAACGAAGGUUCCUCAUCUAAGGUUGUUUUAGAUUACCCAAACGAGUACCUGAUUUCAAUUUAUGGUUACUACGGCCACAUAUCUGAGUGGGGAAAAUUUGCAGCCGAUGUGAUUCGUUCCUUAACUUUCCAAACCAAUAGGAAAACUUAUGGCCCAUAUGGGAUGGAAGAGGGAGCCAAAUUUUCAUUCCCAAUUAUGGGAGCCAAGAUUGUUGGCUUCCAUGGAAGAUGUGGUUGGUUCCUCGAUGCAAUUGGGCUCUACGUACAACCAAUUCCAAAAAUCCAACUCAAGAACUUCAACUUGGGUCCUUAUGGAGGCAAAGGUGGGCACCCAUGGGAGUAUGUUUUUCGAUCGAUCAGACGUAGUUCAUCAUGAACAAUGGAUUCACUCCAUUCAAUUGGAAUAUGAGAAUAAGAACGGAAAGUUAGUAUGGUCCGAGAAGCAUGGUGACAUAAAUGGAAGUUCCAAAUCAGAGGUUGUGCUAGAAUUCCCAGAUGACUAUUUUGUUUCUAUUCAUGGCUACUACAGUCAUAUACGUGUUUUGGAAGAUUCUGCCACUGUGAUUCGAUCACUGACAUUCAAAACUAAUAGAAGAACUUAUGGGCCAUUUGGAGUUG